rnacentral:rRNA from 1 species
AACGAACGCUGGCGGCAUGCCUAACACAUGCAAGUCGAACGAGACCUUCGGGUCUAGUGGCGCAAGGGUGCGUAACGCGUGGGAACCUGCCCUUAGGUUCGGAAUAACUCCCCGAAAGGGGUGCUAAUACCGGAUAAUGUCUUCGGACCAAAGAUUUAUCGCCUUUGGAUGGGCCCGCGUUGGAUUAGCUAGUUGGUAGGGUAAAAGCCUACCAAGGCGACGAUCCAUAGCUGGUCUGAGAGGAUGAUCAGCCACACUGGGACUGAGACACGGCCCAGACUCCUACGGGAGGCAGCAGUGGGGAAUAGUGGACAAUGGGCGAAAGCCUGAUCCAGCAAUGCCGCGUGAGUGAUGAAGGCCUUAGGGUUGUAAAGCUCUUUUAACCGGGAUGAUAAUGACAGUACCGGGAGAAUAAGCGCCGGCUAACUCCGUG